rnacentral:misc_RNA from 1 species
CUGUGUUGCUUACCAUCGUAUGGAAGUCGAUAGAUGUUCGUUUUUGCAUCCCCGCCCGGAGCCUUCUGUGGCGCCAGGCGGGCCGCAAGCCGUCCNCGCGGGCCGCGCAUGCCUCGCCCUUACCGCUUGGCUGUUGCGGAACGUGCGGCUAAGCUCGUUCUCUCGGAUGCGGAUCGUCAAAUGCGGGCGAGGGAUGUUCGCAUCCGCUCGUCCGACCUACGCAUUUGUCAAUCUCGACGCGGACGACUGCCGUGCCGGUCCUGGCUCCGGGGUCGCACGACCCUCGCGAGUUCAUGCCAGCAUCGGCGUCGCGAAGGAAUGCUACCUGGUUGAUCCUGCCAGUAGU